GCACAAGCGGUGGAUGAUGUGGUUUAAUUCGAUGCAACGCGAAGAACCUUACCUGGCCUUGACAUGCUGAGAACUUUCCAGAGAUGGAUUGGUGCCUUCGGGAACUCAGACACAGGUGCUGCAUGGCUGUCGUCAGCUCGUGCCGUGAGGUGUCGGCUUAAGUGCCAUAACGAGCGCAACCCCUCUCCUUAGUUGCCAUCAGGUCAAGCUGGGCACUCUGGGGACACUGCCACCGUAAGGUGUGAGGAAGGUGGGGAUGACGUCAAAUCAGCACGGCCCUUACGUCCGGGGCUACACACGUGUUACAAUGGCAGGUACAGAGAGACGGUUGUACGUAAGUACGAUCAAAUCCUUAAAGCCUGUCUCAGUUCGGACUGGGGUCUGCAACCCGACCCCACGAAGCUGGAUUCGCUAGUAAUCGCGCAUCAGCCAUGGCGCGGUGAAUACGUUCCCGGGCCUUGUACACACCGCCCGUCAAGCCAUGAAAGCCGGGGGCGCCUAAAGUCCGUGACCGUAAGGAGCGGCCUAGGGCGAAACUGGUAAUUGGGGCUAAGUCGUAACAAGGUAACCAAUC
rnacentral:rRNA from 1 species